rfam:Gossypium arboreum cultivar AKA8401 contig_15876_3, whole genome shotgun sequence.
AACCCAUGGUGAGGGCAUCCUCUCAAUAAAUCUUCGUAUCUCUCUCAUGCAUCAUAAAGUGUUUCUAAAUCCAUCUACAAAAAAAAAGAGAUAUCAUUCCUUAACUU